rnacentral:rRNA from 1 species
UCAGGACGAACGGCUGGCGGCGUGCCUAAUACAUGCAAGUCGAACGGUCUUUCUAUGGAAGCUUGCUUCCACUGAGAAGAUAGUGGCGAGCGGGUGAGUAACACGUGGGUAACCUGCCCAUAAGAGGGGGAUAACAUCCGGAAACGGGUGCUAAUACCGCAUAGUUUUCUUGAUCGCAUGAUCGGGAAAGGAAAGACGGCCUUUGUGCUGUCGCUUAUGGAUGGACCCGCGGCGUAUUAGUUAGUUGGUGAGGUAACGGCUCACCAAGACGAUGAUACGUAGCCGACCUGAGAGGGUGAUCGGCCACAUUGGGACUGAGACACGGCCCAAACUCCUACGGGAGGCAGCAGUAGGGAAUCUUCCGCAAUGGACGAAAGUCUGACGGAGCAACGCCGCGUGAGUGAAGAAGGUUUUCGGAUCGUAAAACUCUGUUGUCAGGGAAGAACAAGUUGGAGAGUAACUGCUCCAGCCUUGACGGUAUCUGACCAGAAAGCCACGGCUAACUACGUGCCAGCCGCCGC